rnacentral:lncRNA from 1 species
CCCCUUUGAGCCAAGUGAUUCUAGAUUUCUACCGUCAUAAGAACUCCUAUUGAAUAAUAGAAUUGUAUUAGGCAAGGCUAGCAUAAAGAAUAUUCAUCUCAUUUGGUUAUAGUCCACCUUCACUAUCUUUCUUUUGUAGAUUAGCUAUAAUUGCUACAAUUUUCUCUAAUUUUUGAAAAUAUUACCCAUAACAAUUUUAUUCCACCGUUUCAACCUCCUCUUCAUAUGUUCUAAUCU